GGACAACCUGCCUCAAGGCUGGGGAUAACAUUUGGAAACAGAUGCUAAUACCGAAUGAAACUUAGUGUCGCAUGAUACGAAGUUAAAAGGCGCUUUGGCGUCACCUAGAGAUGGAUCCGCGGUGCAUUAGUUAGUUGGUGGGGUAAAGGCCUACCAAGACAAUGAUGCAUAGCCGAGUUGAGAGACUGAUCGGCCACAUUGGGACUGAGACACGGCCCAAACUCCUACGGGAGGCUGCAGUAGGGAAUCUUCCACAAUGGGCGAAAGCCUGAUGGAGCAACGCCGCGUGUGUGAUGAAGGCUUUCGGGUCGUAAAGCACUGUUGUAUGGGAAGAACAGCUAGAAUAGGGAAUGAUUUUAGUUUGACGGUACCAUACCAGAAAGGGACGGCUAAAUACGUGCCAGCAGCCGCGGUAAUACGUAUGUCCCGAGCGUUAUCCGGAUUUAUUGGGCGUAAAGCGAGCGCAGACGGUUGAUUAAGUCUGAUGUGAAAGCCCGGAGCUCAACUCCGGAAUGGCAUUGGAAACUGGUUAACUUGAGUGCAGUAGAGGUAAGUGGAACUCCAUGUGUAGCGGUGGAAUGCGUAGAUAUAUGGAAGAACACCAGUGGCGAAGGCGGCUUACUGGACUGUAACUGACGUUGAGGCUCGAAAGUGUGGGUAGCAAACAGGAUUAGAUACCCUGGUAGUCCACACCGUAAACGAUGAACACUAGGUGUUAGGAGGUUUCCGCCUCUUAGUGCCGAAGCUAACGCAUUAAGUGUUCCGCCUGGGGAGUACGACCGCAAGGUUGAAACUCAAAGGAAUUGACGGGGACCCGCACAAGCGGUGGAGCAUGUGGUUUAAUUCGAAGCAACGCGAAGAACCUUACCAGGUCUUGACAUCCUUUGAAGCUUUUAGAGAUAGAAGUGUUCUCUUCGGAGACAAAGUGACAGGUGGUGCAUGGUCGUCGUCAGCUCGUGUCGUGAGAUGUUGGGUUAAGUCCCGCAACGAGCGCAACCCUUAUUGUUAGUUGCCAGCAUUCAGAUGGGCACUCUAGCGAGACUGCCGGUGACAAACCGGAGGAAGGCGGGGACGACGUCAGAUCAUCAUGCCCCUUAUGACCUGGGCUACACACGUGCUACAAUGGCGUAUACAACGAGUUGCCAACCCGCGAGGG
rnacentral:rRNA from 1 species